GAUGAACGCUAGCUACAGGCUUAACACAUGCAAGUCGAGGGGCAGCGCAGUGUAGCAAUACACGGGCGGCGACCGGCGCACGGGUGCGUAACGCGUAUCCAACCUUCCCGUUACUCAGGGAUAGCCUUCCGAAAGGGAGAUUAAUACCUGAUGGUGUUCAAAUUCCGCAUGUUAUUUGAACUAAAGAUUUAUCGGUAACGGAUGGGGAUGCGUGACAUUAGGUAGAUGGCGGGGUAACGGCCCACCAUGCCCACGAUGUCUAGGGGUUCUGAGAGGAAGGUCCCCCACACUGGAACUGAGACACGGUCCAGACUCCUACGGGAGGCAGCAGUGAGGAAUAUUGGUCAAUGGUCGGAAGACUGAACCAGCCAAGUAGCGUGAAGGAUGACUGCCCUACGGGUUGUAAACUUCUUUUGUUGGGAAUAAAAGACGCUACGUGUAGCGUUCUGCAUGUACCUUACGAAUAAGCAUCGGCUAAUUCCGUGCCAGCAGCCGCGGUAAAAGU
rnacentral:rRNA from 1 species